rnacentral:rRNA from 1 species
GCUCAGGACGAACGCUGGCGGCGUGCUAAUACAUGCAAGUCGAACGAAGCUUUCUUUCACCGAAUGCUUGCAUUCACCGAAAGAAGCUUAGUGGCGAACGGGUGAGUAACACGUAGGCAACCUGCCCAAAAGAGGGGGAUAACACUUGGAAACAGGUGCUAAUACCGCAUAACCAUGAACACCGCAUGAUGUUCAUGUAAAAGACGGCUUUUGCUGUCACUUUUGGAUGGGCCUGCGGCGUAUUAACUUGUUGGUGGGGUAACGGCCUACCAAGGUGAUGAUACGUAGCCGAACUGAGAGGUUGAUCGGCCACAUUGGGACUGAGACACGGCCCAAACUCCUACGGGAGGCAGCAGUAGGGAAUCUUCCACAAUGGACGAAAGUCUGAUGGAGCAACGCCGCGUGAAUGAAGAAGGCCUUCGGGUCGUAAAAUUCUGUUGUCAGAGAAGAACGUGCGUGAGAGUAACUGUUCACGUAUUGACGGUAUCUGACCAGAAAGCCACGGCUAACUACGUGCCAGCAGCCGCGGUAAUACGUAGGUGGCGAGCGUUGUCCGGAUUUAUUGGGCGUAAAGGGAACGCAGGCGGUCUUUUAAGUCUGAUGUGAAAGCCUUCGGCUUAACCGAAGUAGUGCAUUGGAAACUGGAAGACUUGAGUGCAGAAGAGGAGAGUGGAACUCCAUGUGUAGCGGUGAAAUGCGUAGAUAUAUGGAAGAACACCAGUGGCGAAAGCGGCUCUCUGGUCUGUAACUGACGCUGAGGUUCGAAAGCGUGGGUAGCAAACAGGAUUAGAUACCCUGGUAGUCCACGCCGUAAACGAUGAGUGCUAAGUGUUGGAGGGUUUCCGCCC